AGUAUUCAGACGAAAUAUUGAAUUAAAUGAUUAUGUUAAGUAGAGAUAGCUUAAUGUGUUAAGUUUCUCUAAGGGGGAGGAGUCCCAUUCGAACAUGUCUGAGUGAGCGCGCAAUGUUUGAAGAGACCUGAGACCAGUUGAUGAUGCACGCGAUGGAUUUGUCAUCAUCAUGAAAUGGUGUUCAUGGAGUUCUACAGGAUUGUGGGCAAGAAUCUCAAGCAAUCAUCUAAUUGAGAUAUUUCAGUCUAAAGAGGGAAUGUUGGGCAGCUGUUGACAGCUUUCACAACAAAUCAAGGACUCUGAUGACGAUUACUCAUUCCACCACCUGGACAUUGGAAUCAUCCUCAUUGAGCAUGAAGGUGAUGUGCUCUCAUCCUCUCUCCGUCUCAAUCCAGCCUCAUUGAAGAUCAUCAUUGAAGGAGAUUUUGUGAUGGACAGUAUUGAAGACUUGUCAAAAGCUAUGUGCAUUCUGUAUGGACUUACGCACUGCAUCUCAACUACCCUAAAUCUAUGAAGAACACAUUCCAGAUCAUCCAACAGUUGUUGCCAUGUCCUGAUCUUCGUUCUCCACCGUUCCUGUUCUCCAACGUCUCCUCUCUACGUUGUUCCCGUUGGAUCCCCUGUAUAAGGAAAAAGGAUAGAUUACACUCAGAUAAGACUAUCUUGAACAUUCCCAUAUCCCUGCACACUCACCUGGACUCUCCAUCUUGCUUCGUUCCCCUGCCUAUGUUCAAUAAA